rnacentral:rRNA from 1 species
AUUGAACGCUGGCGGCAGGCCUAACACAUGCAAGUCGAACGAGUGGCGGACGGGUGAGUAAUGUCUGGGAAACUGCCUGAUGGCGGGGGAUAACUACUGGAAACGGUAGCUAAUACCGCAUACCAUCGGAUGUGCCUAGAUGGGAUUGGCUAGUAGGUGGGGUAAUGGCUCACCUAGGCGACGAUCCCUAGCUGGUCUGAGAGGAUGACCAGCCACACUGGAACUGUGACACGGUCCAGACGCCUACGGGAGGCAGCAGUGGGGAAUAUGGCACUAUGGGCGCAAGCCUGAUGCAGCCAUGCCGCGUGUAUGAAGAAGGCCUUCGGGUUGUAAAGUACUUUCACCGGGGAGGCGUUACCCGCAGAAGAAGCACCGGCUAACUACGUGCCAGCAGCCGCGGUAAUAC